rnacentral:tRNA from 1 species
ACUUUAAAGCUUUAUAAGCAUUUCACUUACACUGAAAAGAUGAUUAUCAGAAAAAUAAAUUUUUUUUAUUAAAAACAAUUAU